GUGGGGAAUCUUAGACAAUGGGCGCAAGCCUGAUCUAGCCAUGCCGCGUGAGCGAUGAAGGCCUUAGGGUUGUAAAGCUCUUUCGUGGGGGAAGAUAAUGACUGUACCCCAAGAAGAAGCCCCGGCUAACUCCGUGCCAGCAGCCGCGGUAAUACGGAGGGGGCUAGCGUUGUUCGGAAUUACUGGGCGUAAAGCGCACGUAGGCGGACUGGAAAGUCAGGGGUGAAAUCCCGGGGCUCAACCCCGGAACUGCCUUUGAAACUCCCAGUCUUGAGUUCGAGAGAGGUGAGUGGAAUUCCGAGUGUAGAGGUGAAAUUCGUAGAUAUUCGGAGGAACACCAGUGGCGAAGGCGACUCACUGGCUCGAUACUGACGCUGAGGUGCGAAAGCGUGGGGAGCAAACAGGAUUAGAAACCCUUGUAGUCC
rnacentral:rRNA from 1 species